GGCUUGGUAGCGGAAGGUCCGCAUCUGCACUCUAUUAUUAGAACCAACACCAUCCUGCAGACAACGCCUGUUCGAUUCGGGCCCUAGCCA